UUUUGAAAGUUUUAACACUUGAUGGUGACUUCAACCGACCUCAAGGCUGAGGGUUUGGAGGUGAAAAUUCAAUUUUUGUGGCUAAGUAUGAGAGUGAAAAAUGGAAAAUUUUCCAAUACUUAGCCAUUUCGCAGCCCCGUUAUUUUUUUUCAAAAUUUUGCAAAAAUUUUCUAACUUAAAGUUUUCAUCAUUCAUCUACAGGUCUUAAGCACCAUGAAGUUCCAGGUAGAUAAAGAUGCUCCUCCAGAGUCGAGGAUGACUUACAAGUGGAAGAACAUCAGUGACACCAACCUCGGACACAUCAACCUGAGGGAGUUUAAGAAGCGAAUGUUUGGUCUGGACAACCUUGUGCCUACCACCAUUGCGCGAAAAAUGAUGAAGAGUGGUAUCGUGCAGGCUGCCGGCUUCCUCCCCACCAUGCAGUGCAAUGAACUAGUAGUUGAAUGUGCCAAACACUACAACCCCAUCAGUAAGGAUAUUGUUGCACCUGAUGGAAGAGUGUUGGCGAAUGUCAGCGAUGAGGCCAUCAGAGAAGCCUUCAGGAUCCCUGAGUACCACAACGCAGUAUAUAUGACCAAGGACGAAGCUGACAGUCUGUACCACGACCACCUGGAAGAAUAUGAUGCCAUAGUUAAUCAUUCCUGGCUAGACAAGCCGAGGAAGGGCGCCUCCAAACUCCAGAGAAAGAGCCUAGCGCGAGCAUACUUCAAGGAGGACAUUGGGGACAUGAUUGUCUUGCUCAAUAGAAUAAUAGGAAAUCCUCAGGGAGCUCCAUUCGAACCCUGGAUGUAUUAUUUCAUUAAUGAAAUAAUCAAUGGAGUAAAAAUGAUAGACUGGGCCCGUAUGAUCAGCGACAACCUAGACAACCAGCUAAGGAAUCUGGAGGCGAAUAGGACUUUCUUCAUGAGUUCUUACUUGUUCUAUUCUUUAGCCAGGACCUAUAGGUACAGAGGUCUCACUUGUAGAGGAGAAGUUGGGAACAAGGAGAACCAAUUUCCGGUAUAUGAUUGCUAUCCCCAGCUCCAUAUGGAGGAGAAGUUCCAUUUCAAAAGGGUGAAUGAUACCUUCUUGAUGCACAUUACCUGGACCCUUCAAGGUGGCCUGCACCAGAGGCUCUCUCAAGAGUCUAUGGACUUCAUCGGUCGGUUCGGGUGUUGGUACAUCCAAUAUCCAAAGUUCACUUACCUCCAAAUUCAAGGAUUCUCUGGGCCCCCAUACAAGCUUCCAGCUUACCCUACCAACCGAGUGGUGUUGCUCGAGGUUGUGAGACAAUUGGAGGAGUAUAUAGUGAUUCAAAGGGAUAAGCAGAAGAAGGCAGGGACAUCCUCACUUACAAUUGGUAAUGGGCUGGAAACAUGUCCAUCAUCAUAGGCUGCAGCCACCGCUGAGAAAGAAUUGGCCUGGUAUCCCUUCUACCAAUACAAGUCAAGAAAAGAUUUCGAUCCAUUCCAUAGGAUAAAGAAGAUCGAAGGGACAACGUUUGAGCACUGACUGGAUCUAGAAGACUACUGGGCUAAUGCAGCCGAUAGUUUCGAGAUCCGGAAGAGGUUCUGGUCAAGAAUUCCUUUGAGUAUGGUGAGAGCAACGGAAGUAUUCAAAGUUGCCGAUCAGGUAGAAGAAAGCGUAGAACUUCAGCAGUCGGGUUUUUAGAAGAUGAAGAAUGAACCCUUAGUCUCCAUAGAUUGGAUAGAGGGAGAAAAAUCAGAUCUAGCAGACCUCAUGAGGUCGGUGGUUGAGUACUCAAGGUGGUGGGCGUCUGAAAAGACAAAACAAUUGAAGGCGAAAGGCGUGGUUCCAACUUAUGAAUUAAUGGGAGUAGAUGAUACUCUGUCCGUCCAUCCUUGUACCUCCGUCGGUGAUGCUCGGAAUCCAGAAAGUGUUGGAUCUCGAAAGAGAAAGGAGUUGGGUGGAAGUUCCACAAAGGUCACAGGGAAAAGGGCUAUAGGUGAGAGAAGAGAAUCCAGCGAAAGUCACUCCAUCCUAAGUGCUGCUUCCAUUGCGCCUGAUCAAAGUACAAUUGGGGAGCAAGAGAUGAACAUCUAUGUGAUUGAUGAUGAAGUAAGAGUGCUUUCCCAGCCAGUUGAGGAAGUGGUGGAGAAGGUCUUCCGAACUCCAGACAGGGGGCAGAUUGAAGCCCCUACAAUCUUCUUGGAUGGCAUACCAGCGAACCCAGGAGAAGCAGACAAUGAGUUUGAUCGGAACACUGAAGAACAAUCAACCAUUCCUGAUUGGCUGAGAGCAAGGAUAAAGGCCAAGGUUCCCAAGGAUGCCCACUCAACCGAGGAGGUUACCGCAACAUUCCUGGAGAAGGUGAGUGAACCCGCUAUAGCUAAACCGCCCAAACCAGCCAGGAAGUUUUCCCUGAUUCAGAGAGACAGUGCCGGAUUCAGGACAGUCCAGAUAGCAGUGCCCAAAGAAGGGAAGACUAGGGACAAUGUCACCGCAGAUGACUACAAGAUUACCACCAUAGAGAUGGGUAAGCCUACCCAGGACCAAGAGAUCCAAUAUUUUGAUGACUCCUGCAACGUUCUAAAGACGAGGCUGGCUCAUGAAAAAGAAAAGAGGAAGAAAGUGGAAGAAGAGAACCAGUAGUGGAAGAAGUAUGUUCUCCAUCUUACCAGCCCGCUCAACCAUGAAGUCCCGGCUACUCCACCACAGCCUCUUCAGCAGGGAUCAAUGAAGGACUAUAAUGAUAUGAAGGGAUCAUACACUCAAGAAAAGGAGUGGAUUUCAGACGCUGUGAUACGUGCUGACACCCUGGUAGAAAACUUAGUAUCAGCACAUGAGGCAACUUCUUUGUUGAUUGAUCAUAUCCAGGAUCUAGCAUCCAAUUGGGAAGAAGUGGAUGAAAUUCAGAAUGAAAUACUCCCUCACCUGAAGGUUAUCCGAGGCAUGUCAAAGAAGAGCUUAGUGGAUGUAGGCAUCAUACAGACAGGAGACAGGUACGACUUCGGCAUGUGGUACCAUGCUCUGGUCACUCGGAUUGAGGUUCUGAAGAAAUCCGAGGCCAAGUGUUCUGAGACAGAGGCAAGGGUUAGAGAGAUCCUGGGCAAGGUAUUCCGUGUGGUGUCAGAGAUCUGGCAGAAGGAAAGCCUAAGGGAGAAGCAUUUACAAGCAGAGAACCUGAGAGCCAGGAUUCAGGCAAGCUUCUUCCGAGAUUUAGGAUGAUUAACAAAGGCGAUCUUUCGAAGACUGCAAACUUCCUCUCCAUCGAUGACAACUUCCUCACCCAAGCAGUGGAGUGGGAAGGCAUCCUUGCCACAUGCACCGACGAUGUGGAUCUCAUCGACUUCCACAUUGGCGGUUUGCCAAGUGUCACCAUGGAGGAGGUCAAGCUCGUGGUGUCCAAAUACGUUGAAUCUCUGAAAGAGGAAAGUGGCCACUCACCUCAGUAAAAUUAGCAGCUGCGCCACUUGUCACUCUUUCAUUUGCUUGAACUGAUAGUAUUUCAGGAAACCCUAAUUAGGGUUUAGGACUUUCAAUCUCGGCCCUUGAUCACUGUUUGAUCUCGGCCAUUCAUUUAUUUUUGAGAAACUAUAUAAGGUUGUCUCCUCUCAUUUGAAAAGGGUGAGGUUUUUGAUGUAUUGUUGCUUAAGGUCAUUUCCAGAUAAUAUAUUGCAUGUGCGCUGCUUUGUAAUCUCUAUUAUUUGAAUGAUUUGCAUGGUUUCAAUUGCCUCAACACUUAGUUAGAAAUAAUUUAGAUUUGCUUUCAUUGUUGUUAAUUUGAAUGAAGGAUUUGAUAAGUAUCAAUUGAUGGUGUAUUUCCGCUCAUACUUUUGGUAAAUGGAUGAUUUCCAUUCUACCGUGCAAAGUUAGUCUGAGCCCAUCCCCUGUGCAUCUCAACAUCUCGAUCAUAAGCACAACCCAUUGAAGAUUGCACCAGCCUUGUGUAGUUGUCCCUAGUGUGGUGAAGCAAGGUUUGGUUUCUCGAAAGCACCCAAUUGAUACCAUCUCUAGAAUUCGUAGGAUUAGAUUAGCCUUCUUGAACCCUAUCUCUUUUUCCCUUUCUUUUGAAAGUCUAAAUCCCAGAAAAUCCCCCCCCCCAAAAAAAAGAAGAAGAGCCUAAAAAUUGCUAAAUCCAUCUAAGUCCAGCAGUUCAAGAAUACUUGUCAAAUGUAAGUCCCCCUUGAAAAUUUCAGCAUACACUACCCAAGAAGCUAUUCAACUAAAGUCGCUUGUUCACACAUAUAGACCUUGGAAUCGGUAGUGAUUUUUCAGGAGAGGAUAGAAUACCUUCGGGUAUCCUAUCCUAAUAUUUGGUAGAUGAUAAAACAGACACCAACACUACCAAAUACUCUGAAAUAUCUCACAGUAGGAACAUGACCAGACCAAAGCUCAUAAGGGGUUUUACCGGUAUCUCCUUUGAUGUGAACUUUGUUGAAUGUGUAAACAGUAGUACUAAUGGCUUCUCUCCAAUAUAUCUUCGGGACAUUUCCUUCAAUCAGCAUAGUCCUUGCAGCAUCCAAAACAGUUAUGUUCUUCCUCUCAACAACUCCAUUCUGCUAAGGGGUUCUAGGAGCAGAUAAUUGUCUUCUAAUCCCAUGCUUCUCACAUAAUGAAUUGAACUCUUCGGAACAAAAUUUUGCACCUCUGUCAGAUCUCAAGCACUUCACCUUCAAUCUAGAUUCAAUCUCAACCUUAGCUUUGAAUAUCUUGAAUUUAUCAAAUGCUUUUGAUUUCUCCUUCAAAAAGACAACCCACAUCAUCCUAGAAUAAUCAUCAAUUAGCAACAUAAAAUAUCUAUCACCCUGCACACUUCUAACAUUUGUAGGUCCACAUAGGUCAGUAUGUACAAGAUCUAGGUCGGUUUGCUUACCCAACUGACAUUCCUUACAUACUGGAUUAGCAGGCUUAACAAUCUUAGGCAGAUCUCUAACAACAUGUGUAGAUCUGAUCUUAAUUAUUGAAUCAAAAUUUACAUGACACAUUCUUCUAUGCCAUAAGCAACUCUCAUCUAUUUGAUCAAUCAAACAACUUUUUUCACUAGCAUUCAAAUGAAAAAUGUUUCCUUCAGUCUUAGUUCCAAAUGCAAUCUCUAUACCGAAGGCAUUUAAGAUCUUGCAUUUUCCAUCCUUGAAUUGUAGAUUGUAACCUUUAUCAACCAUCUGUCCAACAUUCAAAAGAUUAUGUUUCAAACCUUCAACAUACAAGACAUCGUCAAUGUUAUGCUUACCACCAAAAGAAAUAGAACCUUUCCCAUGGAUCACGCAGGCUUUGUCAUCUCCAAAUCUAACUAUUCCACCAUCAUAUCUCUCCAUACUCACAAAUUUGCUUUUAUCACCGGUCAUAUGAUGUGAACAACCACUGUCAAUAACCCAUUCGUCUUUCUCUCCAACUUUAGCAGCUAAAGCUUUCUCCUCAAUAGUAUAGCUAGUGUAAUUAACAGGUACAUGUCCAUCUUCCUUAAUGGCAAGAAAUAUAACUUCAUCUCCUUCCGAUUCAUCAUCUGUAAUAUCUUCAUCAACAACAUAGUAAUAGUUCUUCUGAUUUCUAUACUUCCGGUUAGGCUUGUAGGGCUUGUCAUACUUCUCAUGCUUGUCAUAUCUAUCAUUCCUAUCAUGCUUGUCAAACUUAUCAUGUUUGUCAUACUUAGCCAUUCUCUCCGAGCAUCUAGAAGCAAAAUGUCCUAUCUUAUUAAAAGAGAAACAUUUCAAAGGCAACUUUCCAUCAUACUUACCGACACCUUUAAGCAAUCUCCGGGCAAUCAAUGCUUCAAGUUCAUCCAUCUCUCUUUCUUGCUCUUCCAUCUCUCUUCUCUCUCUCUCUUAUAUCUAGAUAUUCUACACUCAUUUGGAUCAUAUUUCUGUUUACCAAAUACAGAUGCAAAUGCUCUAAAUGCAGUCUCAAACUUUCUAUAUGAUUCUCCAAACUCACUCAGCUCAAAUGCAACAAUCUUUCUAACCAGCAUAUCUCUUGUCACUGUAGUCACACUCCGGAUCUCAUCAAUAGCAGCAACCUUAUGUUUAUAGGCAAGAGGAAAAAAUCUCAACACCUUAGCAACAGUUUCAUCUUCCUCAAUGGUUCCACCAGCACAUCUGAUACCGAGGACAAGAUCAUUCACCUUAGCCAUGAAAGAGUGUAUGUUCUCAUCAUCUCCCAUCUUCAAUGUCUCAUACUUUACUUUUAAACUCUACAAAUUAGCAACCUUCACCUGUUUAUCACCUUCAUACAAAAUCUCAAGCUUCACCCAGAUCUCUUGUGCAGUCUGAAGUCCCAUUACAUUUGUCAUCUCAAAAUCAGUCAGGGCACUAAGCAAUGCUUCCUUUGCUCUAAUAUUAUGUUCAGCUUCCUUGAUCUCAUCAAGAGUAGACGGUCCAUUCGGAGGAACAGUAUAGGCAUUUUUUGAUCUUCACCAAGACAUUUCAAGUGCACUUCCAUCCGAUCCUUCCAUAUAGCAUAGUUACUUCCAUCAAAUCUCAGACUAUCCUUAAAGAUUACACCUUGAGCUGCCAUCCCGGAUCUCCUCAAGCGGUUAAGCUUCUAUUGGAGGAUCUAGCUCUGAUACCAAUUGUUAGCAGCAACCAAGAAGGAAGACUGAGAGGGGGGUGGGGGGUGAAUCAGUCUUCACCGGAACAACAAUCAAAACACAGAUCUGAUAAAUUGCAGUAAUAAGAUAGAUAAGCAAAUUAACAACACAAAACACAACACCAAGAUUUUGACAUGGAAAACUCGGUUAAGGGAAAAACCACGGUGGGAACCUACCUACAGUAAGAUGAUACUCUACAAUAGUAUGUGAAAAUAUUACAAUGGGGAAUGCACAUGCAUUCAGGCACACUGCCUAGAGCUCAUUGCUCAAAUAUAAUGGCCUAGAAGGCUACAACCCUCAGGGAAGUCUCACUGACUUACAAUAAGAUUCGGACUACAAUCCGGAAGAAAUGAAGUGAAAGAAUAGCAUCUCCAAAUACCUGAUUACAAUUUCGGUUAAGCACAGAUGUCUGCCCUGCAACACCAAUCUCACCUCAAACUCAACACCGAAGGAUAAAUCACUUGUUUGCACACAAACCUCUCUCUGAUAAUGCAGACACAACAUCGACACCCAAAUUACAUGAAUGUAUCACCUAUAUAUACAAAUCAUCAACCUUGAUAACAAGGUUGGCUAAACCCUCAACCCUCAAUUACAAAAUUACAUCACACAAUACAAAGAUUGACCACCGGACCAGUAUAAUGGUUUACAUAGUAUAACAUGGUCCUAAAACAAAUUCCCAAACACACAACUCCACUGGAAAUCAUGCCAAGAUCAACCGCAACACGCUAAACCACCAGGAAAACCGCAUAACAUGAAAAUCAUCACCGGUUGAUAGAAACCACCAAAAAAUCGCACAACAAUUGAUGCAGAUCACCAAAACAAAUAGGACAUGACUAGGAAACACCGACAAGCAUGUUAAAAUCAUUAGGAACAGCUGCACCAACACCACUUAUAAAAUCUUCAUCGGUCGACGUCUGAAAGCUCAAGAACACAACCAAUCAGCAACUGUCACGAAGAAAGAUAACUUGCGGAGCACCAAAUCACGAUCCAUCUAAAAUGAAGAUACACAAGACCAUCCCAAGCAAUAUCCCAAAAAAUCAGCACAAGAUCUGAUCACACCGGAAUAUACUGGAGGAUAUACCGAACUCUGCAAAACAGUGAUCAGCAAACCAACACAACAAACCAGAUCAUAAGAUCUUUCCAAUCUGCAAUCACCAAAGAAAUAUACAGGAAUAUGUUGACAUCAAUGACAACAACAUAUCCUAGUAGCAGCAAUAACCAACAAUAUCCAACAGGUAUAAGGUGACAAUGGCUUCCUUAUAUUUAGAACUAGAGAAAUUCAUUUGAUAUCGAUGGCUGUGUGCUUAACAAAGGAAAAUGGUUCAUACUAUCACAUGGUCAGUUUUUAUAGAGGAGCUACAAUCACAAUAUAGCAA